UCUCAUCAUCCAAUAGCUGAAUAUGGACAACAAUAAUGGCCCAGGUGAGAAACAUUGUUGGAGCUCUAUUCAUAGUGACCCUCAUCCUAGGAGCCCCAUGUGUGCUAGCAGGAGAAAUUGCUGACAAGGUCAGCAAGGUAGUUGCCAAGGCAGAUGUCUGCAAUAAGCAAUGUGAGGGUAAGGGGACGCCUGCCGACAUCGACCAUUGCAAGGAAAAGUGUAGCCUCACCGAGCACUUCAGUUAUGCGUCCAUCGGUGUAGGUGCCUGACGUCAGAACUGCGACAAGCUAAAGAAUGACCAAUCCUCCUUCAACUCGUGUGAAGAGAAAUGUCGUGAGAAGUAUGAGGGUAGGUUGUCACAGAUCAAACAGGGUCAGAAUCUUUAGGGAGGCAUGCCCAAAGUAUUAUCCAACCACAACCAAUAGACCACCCUCACAUGGGUGAUGUGUCAACCCAACAUCAACAACCAUAUUUUUGCCCAAGGUGAACCGCUUGAAAGCGAAGCCCCACACAAUCUUUGUAAUGUCAUGUCUUUUAUAAAUCUUUGUAGCUGGACUAUCAAGUUGGCUGAUAACAAUUGGUA
rnacentral:lncRNA from 1 species